GUGACAUCACAGAACAGGCAGAGGCAGUUCAGGGGUAUUCUGGUUGCCUUACCCAGCUCUGAAGUCUGUCAGCCUCUUCAGAUGUCACUUGCCAUGUGGUAAGGAAGUGUAGUCAGCAGCUGGUGCAGUGGGAAGAAGAGAAAGGAAGUUCCCCAAGACAAAAACAUCUCGGCAGACCGUGAUCAUGGGCUACAUUCUCCGUACCAGCUUCAUAGCUCCAGUGAGAAAAUAAAUUCCUGCAUCCAGGAGAUGUGGAGUAAGAGAUACAGCUGCCCUUGACCAUAUUUCUUACUUCCGAGAAGAUCGUAGCAGUAAUUCAGGUUAUUGGGGAACAGGUGGUUUGGGUUACAUGAAAUCUCAUCCAGGAUACCUCAUCACAGGCUGGAGUGCAGUGUCAUGAGCUUGGCUCACUACAGCCUCCAUCUUCUGUGCUUAAGGAUCCUUCCCUCUCAACCUCCAAGGUAGCUGAGACUACAGGCAACAUUCGAAACCCAGGUGCCACUCCUUCAGGAAGGUACCAUCAAGCUCCAAGGACUCAUCCUCUUUCUCCUUCCCCACUACCUAGUCAUUAGAGCGUCAGCAUCCACUUCCUGAAAGGAAGAUGCCUGUUUUUCACAUAUCCCAGAAAGCCUCAUUUUAGGACAGCAUUUAGCAGAGUGUAUUCAGGAUCCCACUAACCUUUUCGGAAGACAUGACUUCCAGAUGAUAUAAGGCAAGAAUAAGAAAUUUCAGUGACAGGGAACAGAAAUCAUAUUUCUGCAUUCAGGAUCAUGUUUUCUUGGCUCCAUCAGGAACUGUGCAGGACUGUGCACUCUGUUGAUACUCACAUGGUGGAAUUAUAUUGCCCUUGGCCAACCCUAAAGCCAUCAAGAUAGCAGGUUUGGAAUAAUUCACUGUCGAAGUCUUCUUGAGCUGAGCAGUCAUGUGAGCUUGGAAGAUGAUCCCUCUCCAGCUGAUCCUUCAGCUCAGGCCAUCAUCUACAUCUGGAUUCCUGACCCGGAGAAACUAUGAGUAAUGUGUGCUGCUUUUGAGCCACUAAGCUACAUGAAUUAAUGAAGGAUCAUUAUUAAGUUUUUAAUGGGUCAAGAGAAAGUUACCACUGAGGUCUUCUCUACCUGGGCAACAAUUGACUCCUAACAACCACUAUAAGCUUGGAAGAUGAUCCCUCCCCAGCUGAUCCUUCAGGUCAGAUUUUUCACAGAGCCAUAGAUAUCUUAUCAUCCUCUGUGGCUUGAAGACUAAUGGCAAUAAAACAUUUCUCAAUAAAGGAGGCU
rnacentral:lncRNA from 1 species